AGCCCAGCUCUCAAGGUUAAUUCGGGCAGUUAAGAAUGUGCCCCUUUCAUAAAGUAUAAUCCACAGUGUGAGAUUUACUAAUAAUUGUUUAUGAUAAAGUGGAAAUAAAAUAUAAUAUGAAUGUGGUUUCUAUAUAUAUAGUCAAAAUAGUUUAGAAAAUAUAAUACAUUCACUUUCAGAAGCAAAUUAAUGAGCAUGGAUGUGUAGUUGCUUUUUAAAAAUAAUUUUUGACAUAUUUGCAUUGCUUUCAAACCCCCCAAAAUAGUGAACUUCAGCCAAAGAGAAAAAAAAAACAACGUGAUUUUACAAAGGGACAUGCAGUCAUAGUGUUAUUUUAUGAAACUAUAUUACAUUGUAAUCAACUGGAAGAGUUUGAAGGUUUUAACGCUGUGUGUUUUCUUAUGAUAAACACUUGUCAAUAAAAUACUAUCUUGUGCCUGUUAUAUCUUGUUUCCUCCAUGACCUUUCAAACCACAUGCAUGUUCUUUUCUCUCCCUCUGAGAAAACCUUAACAACAUUCUAAUCAUCAUGAAGAGCAAUUAACUGCCUUCAACCAGCUGUGCUACUCAGCUCAUCUGGGAAUGGGAUAAAACUUGCAGAUCCGCCUACCCAGGCAUGGCAAACAAGACUAGAGCAGAACAGUUUUUAAAUAUGAAAAAUUGGCACUCUCGCAGUUUGGAAGCUUUGGGUGAAGUGCAACGGUAUCUCUUCUAGUAAAGACAAGCCUUGUUCCUGCUUGCUCUAUAGUAUCUACAAAUCUCAGUCUACCUUUCAGGUUACUGAGGAAAUGUACUUUGCAUGAAGAAGGCUGUACUAGUUCAUCUGGGUGUGAGCAGAAACAUGUCUUGUUGAUACUUCUGGAAUCCCUUACCACACUUCGAUUCUUGUGGCUACCCGACAACAUCCUCAAGACUAGCUAGUGAAUGGUUUCAUAUAGUUCUUGUCAGACAGGAGGACUGAUACUUCAUUUCUGCUCCUGGAUUUAAAAAAAACACUAAAAUGUAAUCUAAGCGCCUAGAAAGAAGACAAGAUCAACAAUAACAACAAUAAAAAUCACAAUACAAAAUGUUUCUAAACA
rnacentral:lncRNA from 1 species